GCCAAAUGGGGGGAGGUAGGCGGGUUGAGACGGUGUGUGGAAGGGUUAAGCGGAAAUAAUGGGGGUGAAGCUGACGCAGGGGGUUGGAUAAGUGAGAUGUGGAAUCCCCGGGCUCAACCUGGGAAUUUCAUUUAAAACGGUCCAGGUAGAGUCGUGUAGAGGGGGGUAGAAUUUCAGGUGUAGCGGUGAAAUGCGUAGAGAUCUGGAGGAAUACCGGUGGCGAAGGCGGCCCCCUGGACAAAGACUGACGCUCAGGUGCGAAAGCGUGGGGAGCAAACAGGAUUAGAUACCCUAGUAGUC
rnacentral:rRNA from 1 species